GGUCUUAGCUUAGUGGUUAAGGCAUCUGAGUAGCACUUUUGAGGUCCUGGGUUCGACUCCCGGUAGGAGCG